rnacentral:rRNA from 1 species
GAUGAACGCUGGCGGCGUGCCUAAUACAUGCAAGUCGAGCGAACGGACGAGAAGCUUGCUUCUCUGAUGUUAGCGGCGGACGGGUGAGUAACACGUGGAUAACCUACCUAUAAGACUGGGAUAACUUCGGGAAACCGGAGCUAAUACCGGAUAAUAUUUUGAACCGCAUGGUUCAAAAGUGAAAGACGGUCUUGCUGUCACUUAUAGAUGGAUCCGCGCUGCAUUAGCUAGUUGGUAAGGUAACGGCUUACCAAGGCAACGAUGCAUAGCCGACCUGAGAGGGUGAUCGGCCACACUGGAACUGAGACACGGUAGACUCCUACGGGAGGCAGCAGUAGGGAAUCUUCCGCAAUGGGCGAAAGCCUGACGGAGCAACGCCGCGUGAGUGAUGAAGGUCUUCGGAUCGUAAAACUCUGUUAUUAGGGAAGAACAUAUGUGUAAGUAACUGUGCACAUCUUGACGGUACCUAAUCAGAAAGCCACGGCUAACUACGUG